UGCGGUUUUAUGUAAUAGGUAACAUAUUUGGCUCAUGUCCAAAAUAUAGGGGUUCGAAUCUUCUAACCGCAU
rnacentral:tRNA from 1 species